UACGUAGGGUGCGAGCGUUAAUCGGAAUUACUGGGCGUAAAGCGUGCGCAGGCGGUUGCAUAAGACAGAUGUGAAAUCCCCGGGCUUAACCUGGGAACUGCGUUUGUGACUGUGCGACUGGAGUACGGCAGAGGGGGGUGGAAUUCCUGGUGUAGCAGUGAAAUGCGUAGAGAUCAGGAGGAACAUCGAUGGCGAAGGCAGCCCCCUGGGCCUGUACUGACGCUCAUGCACGAAAGCGUGGGGAGCAAACAGG
rnacentral:rRNA from 1 species